rnacentral:tRNA from 1 species
GUUAGAGUGGCAGAGUCAGGUAAUUGCAUAAGAUUUAAAACCUUAAAACCAGAGGUUCAAUUCCUCUCUCUAACA